rnacentral:rRNA from 1 species
GACGAACGCUGGCGGCGUGCUUAACACAUGCAAGUCGAACGGUAACGCCCUCCGGGGCACACGAGUGGCGAACGGGUGCGUAACACGUGGGUGAUAUGCCCUGCACUUCCGGAUAAGCCCGGGAAACUGGGCCUAAUACCGUAAAGGACCACUGCAUGCAUGGGUGGUGGUGGAAACCUCUUGCGGUGUGGGAUGGGCCCGCGGCCGGUCAGGUUGUUGGUGGGGUGAUGGCCUACCAAGGCGACGACGGGUACCCGGCCUGAGAGGGUGACCGGGAAAACGUGGACUGUGAUACGGCCCGGAGUCCUACGGGAGACAGGAGUAGGGAAGAUUGCACAAUGGGCGCAAGCCUGGUGCAGCAUGGCGGCGUGAGGGGUGACGGCCUGCGUGUUGUAGGGCUCUUUCAGCGCCGACGAAGCGCAAGUGACGGUAGGUGCAGAAGAAGGACCGGCCAACUACGUGCCAGCCGCCGCCGUAA